GGUUUGAUCCUGGCUCAGAUUGAACGCUGGCGGGAUGCUUUACACAUGCAAGUCGAACGGCAGCACGGACUUCGGUCUGGUGGCGAGUGGCGAACGGGUGAGUAAUGUAUCGGAACGUGCCUAGUAGCGGGGGAUAACUACGCGAAAGCGUAGCUAAUACCGCAAGUAUACUUUGGGGGAAAGCGGGGACCUUCGGGCCUCGCACUAUUAGAGCGGCCGAUAUCGGAUUAGCUAGUUGGUGGGGUAACGGCUCACCAAGGCGACGAUCCGUAGCUGGUUUGAGAGGACGACCAGCCACAAUUGGGGACUGAGACACGGCCCAGACUCCUACGGGAGGCAGCAGUGGGAAUGGGACAAUGGGGGAAACCCUGAUCCAGCCAUCCCGCGUGUGCGAUGAAGGCCUUCGGGUUAAAGCACCCCUGGGCAGAAGAAACGUACACGGGGAUAAUACCCCGUGCAACUGACGGUACCUGCAGACAGCACCGCUAACUACGUGCCAGCAGCCGCGGUAAUACGCAGUGCUGAAAGAAUUGAAUUACUGGGCGUAAGCGUGCGCAGGCGGUUCGGAAGAAAGAUGUAACCCAGAGCUUAACUUUGGAACUGCAUUUUUAACUACCGAGCUAGAGUGUGUCAGAGGAAGUGGAAUUCGCGUGUAGCAGUGAAAUGCGUAGAUAUGGAGGAAUCGAUGGCGAAGGCAGCCUCCUGGGAUAACACUGACGCUCAUGCAUGAAAGUGAGCAAACAGGAUUAGAUACCCUGGUAGUCCACGCCCUAAACGAUGUCAACUAGCUGCUAGCUCCUCGGGCCUGCAGUGCAGCUAACGCGUGAAGUUGACCGCCUGGGGAGUACGGUCGCAAGAUUAAAACUCAAAGGAAUUGACGGGACCCGCACAAGCGGUGGAUGAUGUGGAUUAAUUCGAUGCAACGCGAAAAACCUUACCUACCCUUGACAUGUCUGGAAUCCCGAAGAGAUUUGGGAGUGCUCGCAAGAGAACCGGAACAGGUGCUGCUGUAAUGUCGUCAGCUCGUGUCGUGAGAUGCUGGGUUAAGUCCCGCAACGAGCGCAACCCUUGUCAUUGGUUGCCACGAAAGGGCACUCUAUCGACUGCCGGUGACAACCGGAGGAAGGUGGGGAUGACGUCAAGUCCUCAUGGCCCUUAUGGGUAGGGCUUCACACGUCAUACAAUGGUCGGGACAGAGGGUCGCCAACCGCGAGGGGGAGCCAAUCCCAGAAACCCGAUCGUAGUCCGGAUCGCAGUCUUGCACCCUAACUGUGUGAAGUCGGAAUCGCUAGUAAUCGCGGAUCAGCAUGUCGCGGUGAAUACGUGUUCCCGUUGUACACACCGCCCGUCACACCAUGGGAGUGGGUUUUACCAGAAGUAGUUAGCCUAACCGUAAGGAGGCGAUUACCACGGUAGGAUUCAUGACUGGGGUGAAGUCGUAACAAGGUAA
rnacentral:rRNA from 1 species